CUCCAUUAUGUUUUCUUUGAUGGUAUACCCAUUCAAAAAAAAGUAGUACACUAUCGAAUAGAAAAUGAAAGAGAACCUCGAAUGAUAAUGCAUGUUGUGUGAAGCAAAUCCGUAACAUCAACACAAAAUUUAGCAUUAAGUCAUGAUACAAUUGUUAAAUUUACAAAAUGUUGAAACUGACAUUUCCAUUUUCUUCACACUUGAACACAAAAUUCGAUGCACGGAUGUGAACAUCCACCUUUAAUCAAGCCAGUGCCUUGCAUUUGGUGUUCCCUUUGGUGCUCGACUUGCCUAUGCGGAUCGUCACGUUCAUAGAUAUGUGGAGUUCUUGAUCAUUGUUAAGCCGAACUUGCGAUCGAAACAUACAAGACAUAUCGUCAACUGAUUCGAUCGGCUUUGAUUGAGGCAACCACAAAUGAUAAGUGUAGAGCCUGGCUUUGGAAAAACUUCUUCAACAUCAAAUGCAUUAUAUAUACACUAUUUAGCUAUGUACCCAGUUUCUACUCACUAAAUACACUCACACGUAAGAGGACAAAUUAUAUUAUGACAAUAUAUUCACAAGUCACACACAAGGUAUAUUUACCACUCAUCCUGAAAUUCAAUAAUUUUUCAUACGAAAAUGUAUACUGUCUAACCUUAAAUUCAUACAAAAGUGAAUGAGUAGUAUCGACAAAACAUUGAAAUUUCAUAAAUCUCAGAAUUCAACCUUAUCUGAAAUUGUAAUUUCUCUACGUUGAAACAAAUUAAAACCCCAAUAAACUGAAAGUAUAACAACCAAAUCUUACUGUGAAGGCAACUUUUUCAAAUUCAGUGGAUUUGAUGUUGGAGAUCUGUGAAGCCUUCAUCGAUCUUGAACGGUGUUGCCAAUGUUAAAUUCAAACUUAAAAAUUAAAUUGUAGUGAGCACAAGCAGGAGACGGCGACUGAAUCUUUGAUCUGGAACGGACUCCUUCACGCGAUGGCCAGAGACGGUCUUUGAAUCCUCGAUCCUCAAAGAAAUAUGCAGUCACGUGAUAGUCAGAGGUGACGGGUACGUGGAUUCCGGCUAUUUCAAGUGGUUGAGAUGUCGCCGAAAAUGGGAAGAAAUUGGAGGAGAAGUCGCCGAAAAUGGGAAGACAUUGGGGCAGAAGAGGGAUGGUUUGCUGGGUUCAUUUGGAUUCUAUAAUUUGGGGAACAAAAGACUGACUCUCUUCGGUAAUGACAAUUCAAAAUUUGAAUGGUUCUUUUUUUUUCGUGUUUUCUUUUUGCUGUCACGUCGUGUUGUAAUACAACAUUGUCAAACAAUAUUAUACAGAUAGCAUUAUUGGUUUUCUUUUUGCUGCCACAUCAUGUUGUAAUGCAAUAUUGUCAAACAAUAAUGUACGUAUAGCAUUAUUGUUUUAAAUUUUAUCAUUGAACUUAUUCAUGUA
rnacentral:lncRNA from 1 species